rnacentral:piRNA from 1 species
UCUUAGACCUAAUGGCCAGUUGCCAUGUGA